rnacentral:rRNA from 1 species
AGAGUUUGAUCAUGGCUCAGAUUGAACGCUGGCGGCAGGCCUAACACAUGCAAGUCGAGCGGUAGAGAGAAGCUUGCUUCUCUUGAGAGGGGCGGACGGGUGAGUAAUGCCUAGGAAUCUGCCUGGUAGUGGGGGAUAACGUUCGGAAACGGACGCUAAUACCGCAUACGUCCUACGGGAGAAAGCAGGGGACCUUCAGGCCUUGCGCUAUCAGAUGAGCCUAGGUCGGAUUAGCUAGUUGGUGAGGUAAUGGCUCACCAAGGCGACGAUCCGUAACUGGUCUGAGAGGAUGAUCAGUCACACUGGAACUGAGACACGGUCCAGACUCCUACGGGAGGCAGCAGUGGGGAAUAUUGGACAAUGGGCGAAAGCCUGAUCCAGCCAUGCCGCGUGUGUGAAGAAGGUCUUCGGAUUGUAAAGCACUUUAAGUUGGGAGGAAGGGUUGUAGAUUAAUACUCUGCAAUUUUGACGUUACCGACAGAAUAAGCACCGGCUAACUCUGUGCCAGCAGCCGCGGUAAUACAGAGGGUGCAAGCGUUAAUCGGAAUUACUGGGCGUAAAGCGCGCGUAGGUGGUUUGUUAAGUUGGAUGUGAAAUCCCCGGGCUCAACCUGGGAACUGCAUUCAAAACUGACUGACUAGAGUAUGGUAGAGGGUGGUGGAAUUUCCUGUGUAGCGGUGAAAUGCGUAGAUAUAGGAAGGAACACCAGUGGCGAAGGCGACCACCUGGACUAAUACUGACACUGAGGUGCGAAAGCGUGGGGAGCAAACAGGAUUAGAUACCCUGGUAGUCC